CAGAGCGCGGCCGUUGAACAAGGAACAACCCGGAACGUUGUCGCUCGCCCGUAGACGGCCGCAACGGAUUUGGAUUUCGAACCAACCUCGCGUAUCGAUAUCGAAAACGACGUCGUUAAAACGGUAUCGACGCUGCGUUCACGGUUAGGUUAACGCACGCCGGAACUUCCCUUAUCCGAAUUACGUAAUUCGGGGACACGGAUAAGAGCAGCGUUACGCGCGGUACGUUCACCUCUUCGACUCGAGCGUGGAAAUAUCAGGAUCGGGACGCGAUCGAUAACGAUUCGGAGAGUCGGUCGCGGCUGUAAUCGCUCGAUUCGCGACGACCGGGGGCCGAAACGUUCUCGACGAUUCCCGAGGCUGGCCGCGGACCGCUUCCGGUUCGCAGGAUCAAACGAAAGCGCCGCGUCUCCGCGAUCCUGCGAAAAAAUCAUCGGCGACGCUCGGCGGAAUUUCGAAGGAACGGGUCCGCGAGACGCAGCAACGCGAGGGGUCAACGUUAGGCGUGCUCGCCCGCCGAAGGAAAGGAAAAUGGCGACCACAUCGCGCGCUCCCUUUGAACAGAAGGAGGCUCUAACAAGUUGCUCUUGCCCGCGGUUGCGUUCGAGGAGGCGGAAAGUUGCCCGGCCGUUGGAUCGAAAUCGCCGGCGAGGAUCAUGAAGGUUUUUGCAUCAAAAUAAUCAGAGGAACAGCUUGGACGAUAGCGCGCUAAAACGGAACGUUACAAAUUUUAGGUAGACGUCGGCGACCAUUGCGCGAAGCUUGAUAUGGCGGCGCCGAAGUGACUGUAUUCGUCUUAUCCUUCGAAGAGGAGAACGAUUCGGGAGAUUUCGAAAUAACAGAAAUACAGGCGUCUUAGGAAGGAGAGCGAAGGAGAGGCGAAGGAGGGCGAAAGAGAGCGGAGGAAAGCCGACGAGCAACAGGUUGCCACGAUCUUGGGCCACCGGGUGGGGGGAAAACGAGAAGAGAACCCUCCGGAGAGACGGAGAAACUGAAAACGGGCGACCAAGUGGGAAAGCGAUCGUCGUCGGGAUUUCGUUGGAAUAUCCGUGAAGCGAAAUGCUUAGCGGUACGCAAGAGCAGCCGACGCGCGACGGUGUCGCGACAGAGGGACCGGAUUGGUCGGUCACCUGUUGCCUGCCAGCCGUGAUUGGUUGGCCUCGACGCCGCGUAACGACUGCCGGAGGAGGACAAGUGCAUCAUCCGCUUGGUCUACGAUGGACCAAGGAUCGAGAAUGGACAUCGCGCGGAUGCCGAUUUCGUCUUCUGGCCGCCGCGAAAACACACAUAUACAGCCGUACAGGGACUGCCCGCUUGUCGUGUAACCGCCGCGCGCACUUACCCACACACACACACACACACGUGUCGCAUUAUUUGUCCUUCCUCGUGAUCGGGUCGGCCGCGCAACGAUUAUGAAAUAGUACCCGUGUUUACCGUUUUUGUAAGCUCGUUAUUCCGUGUUAUAAUUACCGGACACCCGCAAGGAGCGUAACGUCGGCUUUCGUCGACCGAAUGUCUCCUCUCUGGCGAGCACGCCGUCGGUUUCCGCGUAUAUUAAGCACUCGAUGUCUUUGUUUCGAUUCGCCGUUUUCAGAAAAACCUGAAAUUAAGAUAAUCGAGACGCGAGAGGAACACGCUCAUCUUACUUUCACAUUCCUUCUGGAGAUUCCAGAUUAAAAACACCGGGGCGUUUAGAUUUCAGAUUACGCGAAGAGCCGUGCGAAGGAUUGAAACGUGACGGGGAAGGCGACGACGGGGCACAGGCGUGUGCCAGUUGCGAAAUUAGGUGGCUAAGGACCCAUCCAGGAACAGGUGUAGAUCGGGAGAACGGCGAGAAACCGCGGCGGCAACAACCGAGACCAAAGUCUCCGCUGGGAGAGCAAAGUCUGCAUCAUCGACAGUUCCACGCAGAAACGAGGAAUAACUUAGCCGGGACCAGAGAUAUAUUAUCCGACUGCGAGACACGCUCCGGAUUUUAUAGGGGAAACCAAAAUGGCGGUUCGAGCCGCGCGAAAGCAUCGCGCGCGUAUACAGCCUUCCGACGAGCCUUCUUAUCGUGCAACCGAUCUCUGCAAGUUAAUAAUAAGUAUAAUGAUUGCCAUUCGACGGGAAAGAUAGACGAGAUAAGGCGAAGGUGUUCAUCCGUCCAGGGAGACGUAGUCAAGAAACGACGAAAAAGGAAGAUGAUCGUCGCGGAUGGUCGCGACACGUUUCGAAAUAGGUAGAGGUGGGGAACGUGCGCGUUUUCUGGGUUCACCGGAAAGACCGUCGUCGUGCAUAAUCAACGCACGGAAUACCAAACAGCCGAUUUGGCUGACGAUGCAAGGUCACCCGGGAACAUCGGCUUCGAAACACGCGACCCGUUGCCGACGCUGCUUCGCCUAGGCUCGUCUAUCCAGUCGCCGGAGACUUCGAUCUCCGCUUUCGAUCUGCCGCUCGUCUCAAGACGACGACGACGCCGAUGAAAAAUGCUCGCGAUUCACGGACGUGUUAUUCUUUUUUUUACUUCGGGAGACAUUUUCUCGCCGGGCGAGGGCGGACGAGCUAUAGGCGGAAGAACGAAAGGCGAGCACAGAGGGGAGAAGCAACGUUCUUCGAGGCAGAAACACCUGUCGGACACCUGGUUAAUGUCAAGGGAUCCCACCGAAAACCACGAUCUAGCCGCUGAGCGCAACGGUAGCGCAGGAUGAUCGUUCUAGAACACCGGCGAUUCGGAAUGCAAAAGAAAUAUAUUUGUAAAGAAGAUGUAUCGCGCGCACAAGCGUAAUCGUGGACGCAUUAACGUUAAGUUGCUGUAUAACUUGACCCACUGGCGAUCGUCAGCGGGCAAUUAUAAUAUCUGCCACAGGGGCGUAAGCACGCGUGCACCGUUGAAGAGGGCCUGAAGAAGAAGAAGAAGAAGAAGAAGAAGUCGAAGGAGCGUAAAUCGACGCUGCGUGAAUUGAUCCCGGCGAAUCCGCAGCGCGAGUCACGGUGGCUUACCAGCGACGAACAAAUGGGAAACUUUGGUAAUACGGUUUCGCUAAUACGAAAAAACCGGCACCGAGGGAAGAGCAGAUAGAGGAAGGAACACGGGAGAAGGAAGACGAGAGAGAAGACAGGCUGGUCGCUGACCCGCUCGGAACGUUGACUCCAUGUAGUCAGUCCCCUCUUUAUAUUUCCUUCUAUCCCGCUUGCACCAUCUCCGCCGUGUACCUUCGAUUACAGCCACCAGCCACCAGUUACCUUACCUUACUUUACCUUGCGUUACUUUACCACGUCCGCCUUUCUUUCGCCCGGCCGAUCGCAACCAUUAUAUUCCGGACUUAGCAUCUCUCUGGGAUCUGUCCGUUGCUUUCCCGUCCCUCUCCAUUCUCCAUCCGCAUUCUCGCCGCACGUUUUUCUCGUUGCAACCGACGAGACGCGUUCGCGACGAUCGAGCCGUCAUUCCCAUCUAUGUACUAUUUAUUUCGGAGCUCGGAGAGAGAACCGGAAGCAGACCGGAUUCAAAUCUCGAUCGGCAAAGCGCCGACUUUCUUGGCAACCUCGCCGCGGAUCAUUCGCCUUUCGAAGCUCUAUUUUUUCAUGUAUACCUAACUGUGUACAGAGAGAAGAUCCUAGUCUGGCUCUUGCUCGGGUUCAUUCUCCAAGCUGCGAGAACAAAUACUGCGUAGAAGCGCGCGGCUACGAGACAAUGGGCGACGUUAAUAACGAUAUCGCGAUUUGAUAGAUCGGUAUUAAGCAGCGGAGCCGGGCGAGCAUGUACCGUUAGAAUCGCAAUCGUUCUCACAGCGUCUCCGAGAUCCGAACCCUGGUGAUAACGGUACGGGUUCGUACCUCGGCGAAUUUUCGCUUCGUAGCGAACACCAUUAUUACUAAGACCCAUUUAGUAUAUUAAUCGUCGUCACCCGAGCUUUCCCGUAGAAAUGGAAAAGCGGGAAUGCCCUCGCGAAAAAGCUCGCCUCGCUCCCUCUACCGGCGAACUCUCGUGCGAAUCGAGUUGACAUAGGCAUCGCAAUGGAAGCGCGGAGGUAACGUUGAAACGCAGGCUAUAAAGUAUAGUACGCGCUGCCACCAUUCGUGGUUGACCACCGCCUCUCGAUCGGGUCGGUCUUCCACUCCGCAAACUACCCGACGGGAUCUCGACUCCUCCCGCCGCCGUUGCUCAAUUAUUUCCGUCAUUACGACCGCCCUCUUGAGCCAUGUAUCCCCGGGAGUCACUCCCAACGUACCAACCGAUAUGCUUCUCGCGAAAAACUGGGGAGCACGAUGUUUGUUCUUUUUAUUUCUCGCGACCUGUUCACGGCGACGAACAGCGGCGAAUGUAAAUUGUGCUUCGCAGAAGUUGAUAAUGCAUACCAGAGCGGCUGCUUUUUGUAAGAAGAAUACUCGUUUGCUAGAGCAAGUUGUUCGAAAACGGACAAAGUUCGCACAGAUAUGUUACUGGCGGCAUGUUUAGCGUAGAUGUGUUUGCUGGUCGAUGGAAUUCAUUUUCAACUGGAUCAGGUCGAUUGAUUUUACUGGUUGAAACGGUCGCAGUCGGUAGAAGCUUGGAUGAUAACAUACCGGUAAACGUCGAUUGUAACUCGUGAACGCGUUUCUGAAACGAAUAAAAUAUAUUAGGAUGUCCCAUAAGUUUCUUCCCUUUUUUUGAUGCGAAAUGAAUACACGAUAUUUCUUGUUUAA